rnacentral:rRNA from 1 species
UCCUGGCUCAGGAUGAACGCUGGCGGCGUGCCUAACACAUGCAAGUCGAACGGAGUUAAGAGAGCUUGCUCUCUUGACUUAGUGGCGGACGGGUGAGUAACGCGUGAGUAACCUGCCCUUUAGAGGGGGACAACAGUUGGAAACGACUGCUAAUACCGCAUAAGACCACAUUGCCGCAUGGCAGAGCGGUCAAAGGAGCAAUCCGCUGAAGGAUGGACUCGCGUCCGAUUAGAUAGUUGGCGGGGUAACGGCCCACCAAGUCGACGAUCGGUAGCCGGACUGAGAGGUUGAACGGCCACAUUGGGACUGAGACACGGCCCAGACUCCUACGGGAGGCAGCAGUGAGGGAUAUUGCACAAUGGGCGCAAGCCUGAAUGCAGCAACGCCGCGUGAAGGAUGAAGGUUUUCGGAUUGUAAACUUCUUUUCUCAUUGACGAACUCUUGACGGUAAAUGGGGAAUAAGCCACGGCUAACUACGUGCCAGCCGCGGC